rnacentral:lncRNA from 1 species
GCUGCCACGUUGUUCUUGGAUAAGUUCAACAUCAGAAUCGCUUCAAGGGGGUUUUCUGUAUGAACUUUAAUUUCACUCAUGUUGUUCUUGAUAUUUAUAUAUUAUGUAAUCAUGUUGUGUAAUUAAGUUCAUAGCUGAGGAUUUCAAUGUAGCCUUGCAAAACUACUCUAUGUUAUUAAGUUAAAGUAUUCGAUUCAUGAAUCUAUUUUCUUGUUUCAUUC